ensembl:lncRNA
GUUAGCAUAAUUAACUUGCCAGAUGUGAAAGUGUUUUGGGCUCUGACCUGGUUCAUGCCUCUACUGAUCUAGACAAUUGGGAUACGGUACUGAUGUAUUGUAAACGGUUCCAAGCGGGUUCCAGUGUUGAAACGACAGAUGAUGAGCAAAUAAAAAAAUGGAGAACUGCAAUUAGCAAGUACCAAUUCCAGGAUUCUGAUGAAGGUGAAGAUGAGUCUACUCUUCCAGACGAACCGCCAGUCCCAUCGUAUCAGGAGUCUCUAUCGAACCAUGAAAACAUUGCAGUGCCAGCAGACUGUAGAGCUGGACAAGCACCAUACUCCACCAAAGGAGGUUGUUGGCACCUUAAUUGGUGAGGACGGGAUCGUGGUAAUGGCUAGAGCGGAAAGGGUGGACUGUUUGAUGCCGUUCCAUUUGCUCCGUUCCAGCCAUUAUUAUGAGCCAUUCUGCCCUCAGCAGUCUCCACUGUAUUCCACAGCAUCAUAUUCACCACAGCAGCAUGUGUAUGACAGCCAUGGAGAAAUCCAAGGACUCCGGCAGGAAAACAAAUUUCUGACGCACUGAGAGAAGAAGUUAAGGUGCUAAGGUCCGGGUGGUAUCGGAUCACUGAGUGAAGAGGUGGUGCAGGUUGCUACCAUGCUAAGGACAUUUGCUGCUACUGGGCAAUCAGAUCCAAUAUAACACUUUUGCUGCGGCAUAUGGGAACAGUGGAUGAUCGAACUCUUGAGAUGGAUAACAAGAUGAAUACCUUGUUAGCCUAUCAACAGGCCAAUGGGAGCCAUUCAGCAGAACACUGAAAUCCAGGAUGCCAUGGACAAAGUGGUCCAGAUUCAAGUCACCCGUUACCUGAAAGGGGCCUCCGAUCAUGAAGGUCCACUAUAAAGAGAGGAAAGUGAUGGCGGAGGGAAGAGAAGGGAGUAUCUCAUUCCAAACCCCGACAUUCUCAUUCCAAGAUGUGGCUGCCUGGGCUUCCUGGUGACUCCCGUGGGAUAAUAUAUCCUCUGUACUGCAGAGGCGUAACCCCACAGUCACAGCUUUGAUUAAAUCUCCAUGAUUGAUGCAGACUAUUGGCUCCUGCAUGUGUGUGUGAACGCUAGUCUUUGUGUACACCCUCGUGUGCUUGUAUAAUAUUGUACUGCUUGAUGGAAGAGUAUAGAUUUAAAGAUUAGGUACUUCUCUAAUCAUCUACUGCUAGAAUCAUCAAUGUUUAUAAAGGUUGUUUACUGAGAGAAUACCUGGGUGAGAAAUCCUUGAGGCUACUCACCAAUAGUAGAUCACCUUGAGGCCAAAUCAAGUCGCCUGGUGCAUAUAAGCAAGAAUUGCUGAAGAUUGUCCAUAUUUGGCUUGCAAAAUAGAUCAACAUGCCUAACUGAAUAGUGAAGGGAUUCUUCUAGAUGUGAUUGUAAUAGGUUUUUA